ensembl:lncRNA
UUGCAUUCUCAACCUCUUGAAAACUGACUUUCUAAUUCACACAAAACAAAGUAAAUUAACACAAAUACAAGACACUAAUUUUAUUAAGUUCUUUAGAAAUGCUUUUUUAUAAAACUUUACAAUUCUGCUGUAAAUGCUGUUUUGGAGGGAGUAUAGCUACAGCACAUAAAACAUAAAUGUUUUUCUUUUGAAACAUGUCGUGUAAUUCCAUUUUUGCCAUGCAAACUAUACUGUGACAGUGCUGACCUUCACCACAAGGAAGUUGAACUAUAUGUAGACAAUUCAUCUUUCAUGAAAAUGCAGCUUAAAGUUUAGAGUUUUGUCAUUAGCAUCAGAAUAAGAAUAUGUGUAAGUGAAAAUAAUUUACAUACAGUCAUGUUUAUUUAUUUAUUGAAAUUAGUUAUUCUAUGUCCUUAAAAUACAUUAAUAAAAUAAAUGUAUUAUUUGUGUGUUUCAAGUACUCUUUAUUCAUUUUUUUCUCACAAUUAUUUUAUUGUUUAUUAGAAAGUAUAAUUAAAAAGAAAAGGAAGAAAAAAUAAUCUUCUUAUCAUACAUACAGAAGUGAAAUGAACAAGCUAAAUUAUUUUUCCUGAAUGUAGUGGCUGAUGUAGUUCAGAUGGUUUCUCAUUUUUCCAGACCAUCAGAGACCACCAAUUAGCAUUGCCACCACAGGUACACAGACACUGGCAGGAACAAUAGACCAAAUGAAGCCCUGAGGUUGGGAAUUUGGUUUGUGGGACUGUUUUUUGGUGUAGUUAUCAAUGUUGUUGCUACUGUUGUUGUUGUUGCUGCUACUAUAGUUGUUGCUGUUGUUUUUGUUGCUACUGCUACUGUUUUUGUUGUUGUUGUUGCUGCUGCUGUUGCUUCUGCUGUUGUUCCUGUUAUUGUUGAUGCUGCUACUGUUGUUGUUAUUGCUGCUGCUGCUGCUGUUGUUGCUGCUGCUGUUGUUGUUAUUACUGCUGCUGUUCCUGCUGUUUCUGCUACUGUUGUUGUUGUUGUUGUUGAUGCUACUGCUGCUGCUGCUGCUGCUGUUGUUGCUGCUGCUAUUGUUGUUGCUGCUGCUACUGUUGUUGCUGCUAUUGUUGUUGUUACUGCUGCUCUUGUCAUUGUUGUUGCUGGUGUUGUUGUUGUUGCUGCUGCUAUUGCUGUUGCUGCUGUUACUGUUGUUGCUGCUAUUGUUGUUGCUGGUCUUGUCUUUGUUGCUGCUGGUGGUGUUGUUGUUGCUGUUGUUGCGGCUGCUGUUGUUGUUGUUGUUGAUGCUGCUGCUGCUGCUGCUGCUGCUGCUGUUGUUGCUGGUCUUGUCAUUGUUGUUGUUGCUGUUUCUGGUCUUGCCGUUGUUGUUGCUGCUGCUGCUGUUGUUGUUGCUUUUGCUGUUGGUGUUGAUUUUAUUGUUGCUGGUGUUGUUGUUGUUGCUGGUUGUGUUGUUGCUGUUGCUGCUGCUGCAGGUGUU